UUACUCAUGACUUUAAUGAAAGUAUCACGGUACAUGAAAUAACUGAUAUAAGAAAACAACAAACGAAACGUGAAACUAAUUACAGCCUAUCUGGUGACUACAACACAGAGACAGGAACAAACACCCACAAAAUACAACGCGAACUCAGGCUACCUAAAUACGGUUCCCAAUCCGAGACAACGAGAAUCACUUGACUCCAAUUGAGAAUCGCUUCAGGCAGCCAAACCUAACUAGACACACCCCUAAUCAUACACAAUCCCAAUUAAUACAAACCCCAAUACGAAACCCAACAUAUAAACCCAUGUCACACCCUGGCCUACCCAAACAUAUACCAAAAACACAAAAUACAAUGACCAAGGCGUGACAAACGUCCCAUGUUCUGAAUUCUGUUGCUGUACAUUUCAAAAGAGCUGACCAAAUAGUUAUAUUGACUACGUCCAUCCUAGGUCGAUCAUUAAUGUCUUAAUCAAAAUUACAGAUUGCCUCUUAUCCGCUCGUCGCCCCCUUAUGCCAUAGUUUGUACAUCUCAAUUGUCAAUAGAAACCAUAUUUGUUUAAGCAAGUCAGCCAUACCAGCUGUUUCGCUGCCAGACAAGGCUCCGAUGAUAGCCAGGUGUAACAGUGGUAAAGGACUGUUGGGACAGCUUUAUGUAGGCUUUAUGUAGGCCCUAACAGUUUGUCGGCACCGUUUGUCACCCUGAAAUUAAUGUAUUGUUUAGUGUUGUGUUGUGUAGUGGCUUUGUUGGCGUGCAUCAAAAACAUUUUCUCCCCAUCUUCACUACUACUGCAUCAAUAUGUUUUGACCAUGACAAUUUACAAUCUCGGGAUACUCCAAGCAGUUUAGUCAUCUCAACUUGCUCUAUUUACACAUGAUUUAUUACAAUAUUUAGUUGAAGUGUAGGGUUUAGUGAGUGUUUUGUUCCAAAUACAAUGCUUUAAGUUUUAGAAAUAUAUAGGGCUAACCUAUUCCUUGCCACUCACUCUGAAACUAACUGCAGCUCUUUGUUGAGUGUUGCAGUAAUUUCAGUCGCUGUAGUAGCUGACGUGUAUAGUGUUGAGUCAUCCGCAUACAUAGACACUCUGGCUUUACUCAAAGUCAGUGGCAUGUCGUUAGUAAAAAUUGAAAAAAGCAAGGGGCCUAAACAGCUACCCUGGGGAAUUCCUGAUUCUAACUGGAUUAUAUUUGAGAGGCUUCCAUUAAAGAACACCUUCUGUGUUCUGUUAGACAAGUAAAUCCACAUUAUAUCAGGGGGUGUAAAGCCAUAACACAUCUCAGUGUCAGCAUCGAAGGCAAAAGGUGCUCAACCCAGAGACGGGGCCAUGGACCAAGGAGGAAGAUGAGAGGGUAUGGCCCCAAGCAAUGGUCCAUCAUUACCAAGCAUCUGCACGGGCGUAUCGGCAAGCAGUGCCGGGAGCGCUGGCACAACCACCUUAACCGGACUCAGGAGGAGGACCAGAUCAUAUACGCUGCUCACAAACGUAUCUGGAACCGCUGGACCGAGGAAUCUAAGCUGCUGCCUGGCAGACAACUCUAUUAGAAUCACUGGAACUCCAGCAUGCGUAGGAAGGUGGAGCACGAGGUCUACCUGCAGGAUGUCACGACACAGAUCGAUAAGACCAAGGCUCCCAUCAAGAGAAGGACCAAGUCCUCCUGCUCCUCUAGGGACUCCUGCGGAGCCAGAAUCAUUAUGCCAUGAUUAUCCCCACAAAGGUGAUCACUGAGCACCCAUCUUUGGUUUCUACCAGUCAGCACAAUCAACUAGACUGAACAAUAGCCAAUUGUUUGAAUUGAAAAUCACCAUUGAAAUCAGGAUGAAAUCAAUCCCAAACUGUUUGUUGAUUUUAUGACACUGUUUUUUUUGUGUAUGUUUUGGUAGAUUUCAGGAUAUACCCUUGGCUUGUUGGAUGGCCAGUAUAUGGAAAGUGUUCCUGAAACUGCUUACUUUGUCCCAGUGAGUGUCCCAUCUCUGCACUCACUUAGCUUAGCUUAACCAUGUUGCAAGUGAACCCCUCCCCUACCACCAUCGUACAGUAGCUCCUAUGUAAUUCAGUAAGAGAGGAAUAAGACUUGUAAAUGAGAAAAUUAGCUGUUCUUUUCCUGACCAAUCUCUCCUGAGCUGCAUGUACCCCCGGAGUCAUUCACUGACCAAUAAAGAGCAGAGAAUUAAGGAACUCAAACAGCUCCUUAUGGCAGCUGAGAGCCAAGUCAGGAAUCGGGCAGCUUCCUGUGUAAGACAGAAGAACCCUUGUAUGUGCAGUCAAUAGUGUAGUACGCUCUAGAACACAUCCUUAUCGCCCUUCCCACCAGCUCCUCAUCCUCCAUCUUACUCACCUCCGGUUAGCUGCCCCUCCUAGCUGCUACCAUCCUGUCCUUCCCUGCUUCAUACUGUAGUAUCUAGCAGUGAGUCAUCAUUAACACCUUCUCAUAUUAGCAGUGACUGUUCAUCAUCUGUUUCUGCUCUUGCCAACUCCAUUGCUGUCAUUGUCAAACCAAACAUAAUCUCUGUUAACCUAGAGGUAAAAUCAUGCGUAAUUUGGUCAGCUGCGUGAUUAAUUUCUAAAUUAGAAAUUGAGCAUUCCGGCAAAAAUUCGCAACCCUCGCAAAAGGAAACUCUCAGCCAAAGCCCCUCCUUACCAUCCGUGUGGGCACACGAACAAAGCACUUGAGGCGAAGCAGUUUAAGCACCGCCUUUGGGUCAAUCCUGAUCCCAUUCAGUCCUGGCAGAUUCUUUCGGUCUACUGUACACGCAGAAUCUGCCCAUGGGAGAUUAAGCCAAACAUGACAAUUUUUGUAUUUGUAUUUAUUAUGGAUCCCCAUUUGCUGCUGUCAAUGCAACAGCUACUCUCUUGGCAUGACAGUUGCAUGAGGAGUUGGCAAGGGCAGAAUCAUACUGGCACCCAGGCUAGCUGUUCAAAACACCUGUGAGGCCUCUUUGGAUAGAAGUGGACCUCUAAUGAAAAUCUAGUAGAUUUUCACUUCUGUGCAAAAAUGCAUAGUUCAUGUUAAAGUUUUGGAAUUUAACUGAGGCACCUGCUCCUGCUCAUGUCUACCCGUAGUCUCAUUAUAUUUACAUUGGUAAAUGUACUUAUCCUGUUUAGGGCCAAGAGUUGUUCCCGGGCAGAUUAUUUAAUCUGGGAAACUCCUGGCCCUCACAUCCCUACGUCCAAGCGUUCAUAGUGACGUCACUUUUUGAUCCUUUGAUGUGGGCUCCUCCUAUCAUUGUGAAGCAGAAUUCACCAAGCGUUGGAUAGUUCACCCACUAAUAGGGAACGUGAGCUGGGAUUAGACCGUCGUGAGACUGGUUAGUUUUACCCUUUCUGGUUCUAACCUUCGUCUAGCUCUGGUCCAGGGCAUUACGUACGGCUUGCUUACGCUGAGCCUUCAGCAUCAGCAAGCUGCAUGUAACACCCUGGACCAGAGCUAACCUCUCCCUGACCUCUCGCUUGACACUAACUAUAGGACUUGGCAAGAGAGCACAAACAGAUCUGGGACCAAGCUAGCUAAAAUUCACUCAGAUAAUUUUUACCCAGAUGUAUAAUACUACUAGGCAAUCUUACUGUAGGUAGAAAACAUCAGAUCUCCUACUUCUAUUUUUACACAAAACAACCACCUGUAUUUUUUAUAUGUCUGUUUUUGCUUAGAGGUUAAUAGGAAAAUUACAUGACCACAUGUAGCCAAUGAACCAUACUGGUACUUACACACUGGUGUAACGUCUGCUUCCAACUCACACUCUCAAACACAGAUCCCCUGAACGCAGCUCACUCUCCAGAUCCCAAUCACCUAAAUUCUGAUCACCUGUUCACACACCUGUAUGUAAUUUACACACACUAUUUAGUUCAGUUCAUUGCACCCCAUCAUUGUGAGGUAUUGUUUUUUUUUUUUUGUAUACAUUCUAUUCGGAGCUCUGUUUAUUUCUGUUUUAGUCCUCCCGUGUAUCGUAGUUUUUGGAAAUCCUCACUAACAAUGGUUUUCGCCUAUUCCCUGCCUAUUCCCUGCCUAUUCCCUGCCUAUUCCCUGCCUAUUCCCUGCCUAUUCCCUGCCUAUUCCCUGCUAAUUUAUUGUGCAGAAACUUUUGAAGAUUUUGUCAUCCAAAAUAAUAUUUAUAUUGGUCAUCUGAAGUUGUUAAUGCUGUUUUACUGCUUAACAAAACCCCACCUGAUAUUAAUUGUUAACACUUAACCAGUGAAUCAUGUUUAAUACUGAAUGUAUAGUUUUCAAAACGUAUAUUGAAAUUGACUGUUACUACUAUGCACAGACUGUUAAAUAUUUUCAAAUUAUUUUCAAUUGGACAAUAGCUUGUGUAUCUAUUGUGUCUCCCUAGAGAUGAAAGCAUUGCAACAUUCACAGAGCACAUUAUGUCCCAUAUUCACUAUCUGCUCUAUAUUUUUACGAACACAGUUUACAGCAUUCCACCUCAGCUGUCUAUACAAAAGUAAAUUGUACUUAUUGUUUUUAAGAUGUGUGUAUUUCUUUAGAUGGAGCAUGCAUAUUUUGUUAUAAUUUAAUGUUGUUAUUAACCAGAAGUAAAGUUGAUGGAGGUGAAUGUUUUUGCUGCUACAUAGACAGCAGAGACACCCACUUAUCAGAGGGUCAGAAGCCACUGGAGGAACACUGUCUGAGAUAUCCUUUAAUUUGAAUUGUGGAAGUUGGUUGUUAAAUAACUUGCUCUAUGGGUGUCCAAAGAGCAAGGUUUAUGUUUAUGAAAGGUACACUGAUGCUGUGUAGAAAUGUAAAUUGCUUACUUUCUUAGCAAGGUUUUUUAAACAUGGAUUUUCAUUCAAAAUCAUAAAACAGUAUGUAGCAAGUUCCGUGAGUAUCACGUUUAACACAGGUAUAAAUACACAGGAGAUAAUUGGGAAUAUGGGCGAGACAAACACAAAGACAGGUGAAACAGAUCAGGGCGUGACAGUAUCCCCCCCCCCUUAGGGACACCACCUGGCGUCCUACCUGGGCGCAUAACCUGGUUGAGAUGGGGCCUGGGUCCAGGAUGUUGAGAGGUGAACCUGCAAGUAAGCAGUUAAUUGUAGUGUUUACAUCGUGUGUAUCCUGUGCAUAUGACAAAUAAACCUGACUAGA